GAAGAAGAACUGUGCUCCCGUGCGAAACAACGUAGCUAUAGUGCCAGUAUUUCCCAAGGAUCUGCAUCUAUACGUACAGCCUUGCUCGAAUCGUCUGUUGAAUUCCCGCCAUCGACAUACGCCUUUCCAACAUUGUAUUCCCUAACUAGGGGCGCAGGAACCUCGCGGAAGCUCGCACACGUCCGUCAGACCUGAUGUCCUCGACGUCGACGACCCUGUACCCUGACGCGUUCUUAGCGCACUUCUCGUACCCGUCAACCACGAGCAGCUGCGGGAAGGAAACGGCGGCUGCUGGAGGAAGAUCGAGGGAGAGUGCGCCGCACCCAGGGCACCAUCAUGAGCCUCGGUCGUGGGACUGCCGCGAACCAACAGUACAGGGCCCACCCCUCAUCACGUACUGCAAUGCCGCCAGUGAUACGGGACACAAGAACCCUGGAGUUCCGGUGUGCCCACCAGUGUUCCAGGAAGCACAGUCACCACCUCCAACUGAGCAGCCGUUGCCGAAGCGACACAGUCCGCCACCAGCACCGUCUGAAUGCAGCCGACGGUGGUACUUCCCCUCGACGGCCGCCGCCAUCGUGAUGACCGCGUGCCUGCUCGUGGCGCUCACCUACGCCAUCAGGACGGAGGACAAGGCUGUCGACGCGGAGGUGGCGCCACUAGUCAACUCCAGCGCUCUAGACGGCGGCGAUGACUGCCCGUGCCGCCUCGCCACUUCGACGCUAGGCGGCCACACGGUGCCCAGCGGCCGGUCGAGGAACAACGUUGUCGAGGUUACCACGCGGGACCCGGUGACCGUACGGCACAAGCGGCGUGUUGGCAGGAAUGGUAAACCCUCCACGGCACAUCCACCGGCACACGAGGUGGCAUUACAGUCCACGACGUCGGGCAACAUUGGUCGAAUUGUGUCGGCCAAUCCUGCUCUCUACGCCGUGGGUGACAGCUCGUCGAAGUCACUGGUAGGCUCCUCCUGGAUCCGCACGCUGGACACCGAGCGCCCUCUUGAUCUGGAGCGCUGCCUGAUUGCACCGCGCUUCCGCGCAGCUGGCGUGCGAGAGCGGCUUCUUUCGGUGCUGCGCUCCUGCACAGCUGGCGUGCGCGAGCGGCUCCUGCCGCCCGCCGUGAUGACGUCGGUUCCCUGCUUCAGCUGGUCGGCGCGUCGACGCCGCUGCCGCCGUCUUCUUCUGACGAUAUAUGGGGCCGCUACAAACAACACGACCUAACAAAGACAAGGCAGCAGUGGAUGCCAGUGGCACUCGAGGAGGGCCGAUCAUUCGCGGAAGUCGCACACAAGGCCACGACAACGAAGACUCUGUGGCAGAAGUGAUGCCGUCUAACACUGCAUUGCCAGAAGAGAUCGAAAGCGGAGGCAAAGACAGCAUACAGGGGGUCUAGGACCCGCCGUGGUGCGCUGGCGUAUGGGUGCAGGCGCGCGGCAGACGGCAGCCUCGUUUUUCGUCUGCAACUGCGUGUGGCAGUGGCAUCAACGGCGGAUGGGCAGCUUGCAGCGACGGAUCCCAACAACCAGUGACGACUCGCUGUCACGAAUAAAAGCCAGCUUGUCUAAUCCUUUU